rnacentral:lncRNA from 1 species
UUUUAAAAAGCAAAUGAUAUGGGGGAAUAGUACCCAAAGUUCUUGUCAACAUUUAAAAAAAUAUAGGUAUCUAAAAUUACUUCGUAUCCAGCAAUAUUACAUUCAUAAUUAUUAAGACUAUAAGUGACUACAAUAUUCGACGACUCUUCUUUCAUAUCUAGGAUGCCAUUAUAAUUGACUAUUAUGAGUCCAGAUGAGUUACGCCAUCCUUUGUAUGGUGAAAUACAAUAGUGCAUUAAAGUGUCUAGUAAAUACAAAAGUGGAAAUGAGAUAUGUAUACAUUAUGUGUUCCUCACUUCCACAUGCUUUCUUGAUGAUUACAAUUCAUCAUUUAGUAUCAUAAUCCUAUAUAUAUGCAAGAUAUUUCAUAUAUAUGGCAUGUCAAAUGGUUGCAAGUAUGCAAUUAGUGAAGGAGAGUGUGUAUGAAAAUUGUUUACGUGAGAAAAAUGGUAGAGUGUAUGAUUGUUGUACUUUUAUUUCCUUAUAAUGGAAUGUAUACGAUGAACAAUUGAAGUUGUAUCUUAGCUAAAUAUGUGAUUGUCACUUGCUCAUUUGAAAAAUAAUACUCCAUAUUACUGAAGGAGUUGUACCCAAAUAAAACAAUAUUCAACACGAAUUUCGGGUCGAGACCUUAAUGCCAUGUUCUUCCUUAUACGUGGCAGGAACAAAAUAAAAUUAUUCCAAGUGAACCUAAAUUCCAACUUUUCGAUGUUGUUUGAUAUCAAAUCACAUCUUUGAUGUAGAUGUAGAUGAACAAAAUAAAUAUCUAUAUGCAUAUUGUAAAAUCAGUAAAAUUAUAAAAUUCAAG